GAAAGCAUGCGACUCUUCGGAGGCGUUACACAGGUGCUGCAUGGCCGUCGUCAGCUCGUGUCGUGAGAUGUUUGGUUAAGUCCAGCAACGAGCGCAACCCCUGUUGCCAGUUACCAGCACGUGAAGGUGGGGACUCUGGCGAGACUGCCCAGAUCAACUGGGAGGAAGGUGGGGACGACGUCAGGUCAGUAUGGCCCUUAUGCCCAGGGCUGCACACGUACUACAAUGCCCAGUACAGAGGGGGCCGAAGCCGCGAGGCGGAGGAAAUCCUAAAAACUGGGCCCAGUUCGGACUGUAGGCUGCAACCCGCCUACACGAAGCCGGAAUCGCUAGUAAUGGCGCAUCAGCUACGGCGCCGUGAAUACGUUCCCGGGUCUUGUACACACCGCCCGUCACAUCAUGGAAGCCGGUCGCACCCGAAGUAUCUGAAGCCAACCGCAAGGAGGCAGGGUCCUAAGGUGAGACUGGUAACUGGGAUGAAGUCGUAACAAGGUAGCCGUAGGGGAACCUGCGG
rnacentral:rRNA from 1 species